UACGGGGGGGGCAAGCGUUGUUCGGAAUUACUGGGCGUAAAGCGCACGUAGGCGGACUGUUAAGUCGGGGGUGAAAUCCUGGGGCUCAACCUCAGAAUUGCCUCCGAUACUGGCAGUCUCGAGUGCGGGAGAGGUGAGUGGAAUUCCCAGUGUAGAGGUGAAAUUCGUAGAUAUUGGGAAGAACACCAGUGGCGAAGGCGGCUCACUGGCCCGUAACUGACGCUGAGGUGCGAAAGCGUGGGGAGCAAACGGG
rnacentral:rRNA from 1 species